rnacentral:rRNA from 1 species
GACGUAGGGCGCGAGCGUUGUCCGGAUUUAUUGGGCGUAAAGAGCUCGUAGGCGGUUUGUCGCGUCUGCUGUGAAAAACCUAAGGCUCAACCUUGGGCUUGCAGUGGGUACGGGCAGACUAGAGUGCGGUAGGGGGUGACUGGAAUUCCUGGUGUAGCGGUGGAAUGCGCAGAUAUCAGGAGGAACACCGAUGGCGAAGGCAGGUCACUGGGCCGCAACUGACGCUGAGGAGCGAAAAGCAUGGGGAGCGAACAGG